GGGUGUUUUGAAGGAAAAAUUCUAUACUAUCACGCUUACAUCACAUCAUCAAUCAAUUAUAUAUUUUUUUUAAUAAAAAUAUAAUAAAAAUAUUUUUUUAUAAUUAUGAUAGAACAUAUAUUUCUAAAAAAAAUAUUUUAUUUGAUUUGUGACGUUACGUCACUAAUAUAUUCGAUGUAUUAUAGAAUUCUUCGUUUUGAACGCCAUUUUAUUUUUGUCUUUUUCGAGAGAAUUUGGAUUGAGUGUGACUCAGCAAUUUUUUAUUUCUAUUUUCCCA
rnacentral:lncRNA from 1 species